rnacentral:sRNA from 1 species
GGUUCUGGGCGUUACCAUCGUCCGUGCGCACCGCCCCGCGUCCAGGUGAGUCUCCCAUCUGCAGAGACGCGGACGCGCCGGCCCGCAGUUGGCCUGCGGAGCGCGGUGGACGGGUUGGCGCCCACCAGGCGAUCAAUACUUUGGAUUUUUAAUUUCUAGAUUUGGCAAUUCUUCGCUGAAGUCAUCAUGAGCUUUUUCCAACUCCUGAUGAAAAGGAAGGAACUCAUUCCCUUGGUGGUGUUCAUGACUGUGGCGGCGGGUGGAGCCUCAUCUUUCGCUGUGUAUUCUCUUUGGAAAACCGAUGUGAUGUAAGUAGGUCUCAAUUUAUAAAAACGUUUUUGGCAGUGUUUGGAUGACUUUUAGUUUAUGAAAUGUAUAAGUUUCCUAUUUUUUUCCCAUGGAUAAGAAUGCCAAAUUGUGAACUGGGAGUCAGGGUUAAAAAGCAUCUUUUAUCAGAAAACUCUUAUGAUAUUGUCUACCAAUGGGUCAGAAAAUGAAAAUUAGAAAAAAAAAGACAAAAAAUUUAAAAAACCCAUGAUAUUAAUCA